rnacentral:rRNA from 1 species
UACGUAGGGUGCGAGCGUUAAUCGGAAUUACUGGGCGUAAAGCGUGCGCAGGCGGUUUUGUAAGCCAGAUGUGAAAUCCCCGGGCUUAACCUGGGAAUGGCAUUUGGGACUGCAAGGCUGGAGUGCGGCAGAGGAGACUGGAAUUCCUGGUGUAGCCGUGAAAUGCGUAGAUAUCAGGAGGAACACCGAUGGCGAAGGCAGGUCUCUGGGCUGACACUGACGCUCAUGCACGAAAGCGUGGGGAGCAAACAGG